UACGAAGGGGGGCUAGCGUUGUUCGGAAUUAUUGGGCGUAAAGGGCGCGUAGGCGGCUGAACAAGUCAAAGGUGAAAUCCCUCGGCUCAACUGAGGAACUGCCUUUGAAAACUGUUCGGCUUGAGGCCGGGAGGGGGUAGCGGAAUUCCCAGUGUAGCGGUGAAAUGCGUAGAUAUUGGGAGGAACACCAGUGGCGAAGGCGGCUACCUGGACCGGUUCUGACGCUGAGGCGCGAAAGCGUGGGUAGCAAACAGG
rnacentral:rRNA from 1 species